rnacentral:lncRNA from 1 species
CGGUAUGCUCCAGAGUUGGGUUCUAGCAUGAUGGCCCAAAUGAGAAAGUUUGAUUUGGUAUUUUCUCAUAAAUUGAUCCUUGAUAAUAAGGAUGCCUUGUUAAUUAAGUACGUAGAUAUCUCUAGGAUUGAGGUAUAAAUGUAAUAGGUACAGGAAGAGAAGAAGAAAAAGGUUGAGUUAAGAGAUAGGCAGGGGUAAUAAUUUAGAUUUUCA